AUGAAUCACAUGUUGGGUUUCAAGUAUUUUGGACCUUAUCAAGUCAUAGAAAGAGUCAGAGAUGUUGACUAUCGUCUACAACUUCCAGUGUCCAAUAAAAUUCAUCACGUGGUGCAUGUUUCUUUACUGAAAUCGGCCAAGUCGCCGGAGGAGAUGCACCAUGAAGUAGUUCAAGGUCGUCUGGAGUGGGCUACCGACAACGAUGGCUACUUGGGAAUGGGAAACCGACCCCCUCCCCUCCACGACCCAACCCCCUCCCCGUCUCUGCACCAUCAGCCACAACCCCCUCCCGAAUGCCGCUACUUUGACGGGGAUGGAGAACUCUUCGCCGACAAGGACGGGGAAGGCCUCUCCUACAGUCGGCCACAGCCUCCACCCUGUGAGGACACUGAGCAGGCAGUGCGUAUUGAGGCCCUAUCACCGCCAAACCCCUUUCCAUCCGUUUCAGCAUUGAUGCCAACUGGAUUGCUCAUUAAAUAUUUUCUGAGAGUUGAUGCUGAUGGCUUAUUUCACACAUAUCCUCAUCGGGGUGAUUCCUUACCCAGCGUUGUUGUACGGGUCAGGACUGAAUGGCCUCUUGUUGGUGAUCACUGUGGACCAUUGCCGCUGUGA
rnacentral:rRNA from 1 species